CUUUGCCUCCCCGGCCGCCCGUCGGACCUCACACCGGUACGUGGAUCCUUUUACCGGACUCGAGCUCCGUAACUAAGCAGGUGCCGGAACGCGGAACGCAUGAGAACGGAGGGGAAAGAGGUGGACGCAGGUCCCGGAAGGCGCCAGUUAGCUUACCCAUAGAGCUGCGGGACCUGGGCAAUACGUGACAGAAGGCAGACAGCACAAAACGGAGAGGUUCCGGAACGCGUUCCUGUAUAGCAGCCGGAACAAAUUAAGCCUUGAUAUCCGGUUAUUAUGACGUAAUGUGCAAUGCAGCGUUUGAUAUUUUCAGAUGUCCAAUGCUACUGGAAUUUCAAGUAUAUAUACUGUUUUCAGGCCACCUAUUGUAAACAUCCUGUGGUGCAAAUUUGUAGAAAUGAUUAGCUGUAGACGCAGUAACGGUACUAGCAGCAGCACUAACACGGCAGAGUAAUAAUAUGCUCCUAUUCAGUAGGCCCAGACAGCAGGCCUGUAACAGUGCCUAGAGAAUGCAGCUCCUCUUGCCAUGACCCUGGCCACUGGCACAGUGUCUUAGCACCGGUCUGCUUGAAGUCGCCUGCGUCCAGCAGAUGGAUCACCGGACCUCGAUCGCCCACCCCCCUCCGUCGCUGUCUUCCAUCAUCAGGACGUUUUUAUACACUGUUUACGGCCGCAUUUGUCAUUUGUACUUUUAUAGACACUAUUUUCCGGGAUUUCUGCUCCAUUGCCUCCUCUGAAAGGGUCAGAGGAAUCGCUUUUUGGGUCCGUCCCCACGUCCCUGCUCUUUGACUCACUCAGGAGGAGCGGCUGACUGACAGGCCCCUCGCCAUCGUCUCAGAGGAAUCGCUUUUUGGGUCCGUCCCCACGUCCCUGCUCUUUGACUCACUCAGGAGGAGCGGCUGACUGACAGGCCCCUUGCCAUCGUCUCAGCGGGCCUCCUCCAGCCGGUCCCUGCUGCCCAAUUCAGGUACUGUGUCAUUCCA